rnacentral:rRNA from 1 species
CUGGAAACGGGUGGUAAUGCCGGAUGCUCCAGUCCAUCGCAUGGUGGUCUGGGAAAGAUUUCAUCGGUAUGGGAUGGGGUCGCGUCCUAUCAGGUAGUCGGCGGGGUAACGGCCCACCGAGCCUACGACGGGUAGCCGGCCUGAGAGGGCGACCGGCCACAUUGGGACUGAGAUACGGCCCAGACUCCUACGGGAGGCAGCAGUGGGGAAUAUUGCACAAUGGGCGCAAGCCUGAUGCAGCGACGCCGCGUGCGGGAUGACGGCCUUCGGGUUGUAAACCGCUUUUGAUCGGGAGCAAGCCUUCGGGUGAGUGUACCUUUCGAAUAAGCACCGGCUAACUACGUGCCAGCAGCCGCGGUAAUACGUAGGGUGCAAGCGUUAUCCGGAAUUAUUGGGCGUAAAGGGCUCGUAGGCGGUUCGUCGCGUCCGGUGUGAAAGUCCAUCGCUUAACGGUGGAUCCGCGCCGGGUACGGGCGGGCUUGAGUGCGGUAGGGGAGACUGGAAUUCCCGGUGUAACGGUGGAAUGUGUAGAUAUCGGGAAGAACACC